rnacentral:rRNA from 1 species
GACGAACGCUGGCGGCGUGCCUAAUACAUGCAAGUCGAACGCAGUGGGGACGGGUGAGUAACACGUGGGUAACCUCCCAUCAGAGGGGAUAACACUUGGAAACAGGUGCUAAACCGAUACUGAUGGAUGGACCCGCGGUGCAUUCGGUAGUUGGUGAGGUAACGGCUCACCAAGGCCACGAGUCAUAGCCGCCCGGAGAGGGGGAUCGGACAAAAUGAGACUGAGACACGGCCCAGACUCCUACGGGAGGCAGCCGUAGGGAAUCUUCGGCAAUGGGGUGAAACCUGACCGAGCAACGACGCGUGAGUGAAGAAGGUUUUCGGAUCGUAAAGCUCUGUUGUUAAGGAAGCGGUACUUAACCAGAAAGGGACGGCUAACUACGUGCCAGCAGCCGCGGUAAUAC